rnacentral:rRNA from 1 species
ACGAACGCUGGCGGCACGCUUAACACAUGCAAGUCGAACGAGAGAAGAGAAGCUUGCUUUUCUGAUCUAGUGGCGGACGGGUGAGUAACACGUGAGCAAUCUGCCUUUCAGAGGGGGAUACCGAUUGGAAACGAUCGUUAAUACCGCAUAACAUAAUUGAACCGCAUGAUUUGAUUAUCAAAGAUUUAUCGCUGAAAGAUGAGCUCGCGUCUGAUUAGCUAGUUGGUAAGGUAACGGCUUACCAAGGCGACGAUCAGUAGCCGGACUGAGAGGUUGAUCGGCCACAUUGGGACUGAGACACGGCCCAGACUCCUACGGGAGGCAGCAGUGGGGAAUAUUGCACAAUGGAGGAAACUCUGAUGCAGCGAUGCCGCGUGAGGGAAGAAGGUUUUAGGAUUGUAAACCUCUGUCUUCAGGGACGAAAAAAGACGGUACCUGAGGAGGAAGCUCCGGCUAACUACGUGCCAGCAGCCGCGGUAAUACGUAGGGAGCGAGCGUUGUCCGGAAUUACUGGGUGUAAAGGGAGCGUAGGCGGGAUCGCAAGUCAGAUGUGAAAACUAUGGGCUUAACCCAUAAACUGCAUUUGAAACUGUGGUUCUUGAGUGAAGUAGAGGUAAGCGGAAUUCCUAGUGUAGCGGUGAAAUGCGUAGAUAUUAGGAGGAACAUCAGUGGCGAAGGCGGCUUACUGGGCUUUAACUGACGCUGAGGCUCGAAAGCGUGGGGAGCAAACAGGAUUAGAUACCCUGGUAGUCCACGCCGUAAACGAUGAUUACUAGGUGUGGGGGGACUGACCCCUUCCGUGCCGCAGCAAACGCAAUAAGUAAUCCACCUGGGGAGUACGACCGCAAGGUUGAAACUCAAAGGAAUUGACGGGGGCCCGCACAAGCAGUGGAGUAUGUGGAUUAAUUCGAAGCAACGCGAAGAACCUUACCAGGUCUUGACAUCGUAUGCAUAGCUCAGAGAUGAGUGAAAUCUCUUCGGAGACAUAUAGACAGGUGGUGCAUGGUUGUCGUCAGCUCGUGUCGUGAGAUGUUGGGUUAAGUCCCGCAACGAGCGCAACCCUUACUGUUAGUUGCUACGCAAGAGCACUCUAGCAGGACUGCCGUUGACAAAACGGAGGAAGGUGGGGAUGACGUCAAAUCAUCAUGCCCCUUAUGACCUGGGCCUCACACGUACUACAAUGGCUGUCAACAGAGGGAAGCAAAGCCGCGAGGUGGAGCAAACCCCUAAAAGCAGUCUUAGUUCGGAUUGUAGGCUGCAACCCGCCUACAUGAAGUCGGAAUUGCUAGUAAUCGCAGAUCAGCAAGCUGCGGUGAAUACGUUCCCGGGCCUUGUACACACCGCCCGUCACGCCAUGGGAGUCGGUAACACCCGAAGCCUGUAGUCUAACCGCAAGGAGGACGCAGUCGAAGGUGGGAUUGAUGACUGGGGUG